rnacentral:lncRNA from 1 species
UUUUCUUAAUUCAGCACUCGUUAAAUAGUAAAAAAGUCUUGAGAGUUUUGGUAAGUCCUAUAAAAGUCCAUAGUUAUUGCAUUCUGCUUCUACUAGUGACUUUUAAAUGACAUUUAAAAAAAUAUCGAAAAUUAACCGAACCGUACCGAUACCGAAGAGAAAACGACAUGAUUGGUACGGUUUCUAAAAGUCUAAAUUUGGUUAUACAUAAUAGAAUAACUGAAAAAUUAAUAUGGUACAAAUUUUAUAAAAUAACCGGCCGAACCGUAACAAGCACUUGUCGGGCCUUAUUGGCGCCCACCAAACUGUUUUCUGCAACUGUUCCUGCGCUGCAUUGCCCAGUUCCAUCUCUACUUCUUCUCCUAUUUCAAUCACAUGAAAAACACAAGAAAAAUUAUCAGGAUUAAAAACCUAAAAACAGUAAUUGAAAUUAAACUAGUAAUUGCAUAAGAGAUCGACACACACGCAAAAAAAAAGAAGGUUUAAGCUUCUACAACGAAUCAAUUUGCUUUGUGGGCUAGAUGAUCAUCCCAAACAUAUAUUUGUUCUUACUCAAAGAAAAAACUGUAGUUAUAAUUUUUUUAAUUUACCUGUGAAAAUUCCAGCAGGAAAGACUCUAGAAGGACGAGAAAAGCAUUAUGUAUGUAAAAGUGGUGGUGUAUGAGAGACGUGGAGGAAUGCGGCAGUAAGAAGGUAAAGAGAGGUAGGGUUAAGAGCACAAAUACUUAUAUGGGAGCUAUGGUAGGGUUCCUUUUUUCCCCAAUCAUGUUCCUCUUUUUCACUUGAAUUUACCAGAAUAGCAACACCAGAAUGUAACUCUAAUAGUGCUGGUUUCAACAAAUUUUCGUCCAUAAGUAGUUCGUGUAAGUUAUAUACACGGAC